AUUUGUUAAUAAAUUCAUUUGGUAAAAUUAAAAAUAACGUUUAACACACAAAUCAUCGCAUAUUAUUGAGUGAAUAUGACUAGCCGAUUUAGGAAUGUUGCGCAAGAACGUUAGAAACCGCAACAAGUUGAAAACAAAGGCCAACGGACUACGCCUAACUACCCCUCAGUGGAUGCAAAUAACUGAAGUUCGCCGUCUAACUGAACUCAGACGUCAGCAGUGAGAUUCCAUCCGAAAAUUGUUCUUUUUAGGAAGAAUUUGUUUUAGAUAGGGAAAAUAUACUCCGACUGAAGAAGAAAAAACGAGUUUGCAAUCAAAGUAGCUAGUAAACAUGAUUGUAUUUCGAAAAAAAGAAUUUGAAUUUCACUACCACUACGCUCAUUCAAACUCGUGGCUCAUAAAUUGGUAAGGUAUGCGACGCACCUAAUUAUAAUCUUAAAAUAAUCCAUUUUAUUUAUACUCAAAAUAAGAUUUACAGUUUAUGAUUUUAAUACAGAUAGUCACGUAGCGAACAUGUUCGCGGUGGCCUCAUGAUGCUGAUGCUUGAAGCGAUAUAAAACUUCGAUGUUUGCGAUUCUCAAAUAAACGAGACAUUCGCUUUAUAUGUGUUCACCGAAUAUCGCUUCGAAACUCUGUGCAAUGUUCCAAAAGCGCAAAAACCACGAGCCAAGAGCUUACUUCGUGUUCGACGAUGUGUGCUUCUAAGGUUAAUAUGAACUUUUUCGAACAUUGUAAAAAGCGAACUAGAUGCGAAGCUCGCUUCAUCCAAGCAGAGAUAAGUUUUACCACUAAAUGUUCGCAGCGAUUGUGUGAAACGCAUCGAUUGCAUGUGGUAUGCUUGAGAGGAUGCUUCGUGAAGCUUCGAACAUCAAUCUGCCCUGCUAAUUGUGAGGAAUUCCACGAAGAUCCGUCCGAAAAUCUUUAAAAUCGUGACCGACCAUCUUAGAUUCCGAUGAAACUUUACACAUUUCACCGGAAUGGAAGACUAAACAUUUUCCACAGUUUCCACUACUCAAUUUCAAAAACCGGGGCAAACUGUCAAAAAAUGAGUAUCGAUUUGAGUAGAAUUGACUGAACUCUUGAGUAACCAUGAAAUUAUCAACUAUUUGAGUGAAAAAAAACUUACUGGCGCACGAAGUGGAACAGCCCGCACACAAAAAAUUGAAAAUAGUUUCAAAUAUUGAUUCAACAGCAAAAGAAUCAACGAGGAGACAUUCGGAAAACUAAAAGGUAAGUUUUCGCAA